rnacentral:rRNA from 1 species
CAGUAGCCGCGGUAAUACGUAGGGUGCGAGCGUUAAUCGGAAUUACUGGGCGUAAAGCGUGCGCAGGCGGUUAUAUAAGACAGAUGUGAAAUCCCCGGGCUCAACCUGGACCUGCAUUUGUGACUGUAUAGCUAGAGUACGGUAGAGGGGGAUGGAAUUCCGCGUGUAGCAGUGAAAUGCGUAGAUAUGCGGGGGAACACCGAUGGCGAAGGCGGCCAUCUGGGACAACACUGACGCUGAGGCACGAAAGCGUGGGGAGCAAACAGGAUUAGAGACCCCCGUAGUCCCUGUCUCUUAUACA